CCUUCCUUUAAGCCCCACUCAAUAGUGGCAGACAAGCUUGGGAGGGAACCAGGCCAGACAGGCACCUCCAGGGUUCACAGGGAGAAGAUACAGUCCUUCCAAAAGCCUGGGAGUUUGUCACUUCCACUCCACCGGCUGGACAACUGGAGAACAGAAAGUCACAGGUUCUUUCAUUUGUCUCUCUUUUGUUUCUACUUCCAGGUACUCUACUUUCACAGUACGGACUUUGCAGUACAGAAAUCUUUCUGCAUACAGACAGGACAAAACCUCAAGGGAUCGAACUCGGACCCAUUCGCUUGCGCAGCAGGCGACAAAACCACUGAGCUAAAUCCCUGGCUCACAGAGAAAUAUACUUGAUGGCACCAGGAAGGUGAGUGGGAGCAAAGCUGCCCUGCAGAAAGGAAAUGACACCAAUGGGCUGGGGAUUUAGCUCAGUGGUGCCGCUGCCUGCCUCGAAAGUGCAAGGUCCUGAGUUCAAUCCCCAGUACCAAAAAAAAAAAAAAAAAAGAAAAGGAAAUGACACCAAGACUGUACCUCAAAUCCAAAGGAAAAAAUGAGAGAAAAGUGGCUAAUAAGGCUGAUAUAACAAAUACCAUGGACAUGUAACAUGCACUUGUUCUUUUUCUCUCAGGUUCUUUAAAAUACAUAAAA
rnacentral:lncRNA from 1 species